rnacentral:lncRNA from 1 species
CUCCUUCAGGGAGUCUUCUUCUCUCAGGUAUCAAACAAAGCUGACGGAGACAAUGUGAAGCUGAUCUGAGACAAUAACUGAGCAAAGUAGCAGCACGUGGUGAUCAGAUGUUGUCUUAUAGAUCAGCUGUGAAUAUGAAACUACUGUAUUACUGCAGAUCAAUAUUAUCACUACAGUAAUAAGGAGACAUGUUUCGUGUCUGUCGAGUGGGGAAAUGAAAGAACGUACAAAUGAAAGUCAUGAAAUGUGCAGUUUGAAGGAUUUAAAGGACCUUUGUGUUGCUGUAGUUUCCCAGCAUGCUCUCUGGUCUGUGUGUUGGUGUGCAGGAGGAUCCAGGUGGAGCAGAUGCAUCAACACAGAGAUCAAGAUACUGCAGUACUUCUUCUGUGAAACACAUCGACAC